GGCUUUUUGAUUAUAAUUUAAGGUCUAACCUGCCCAAUGAUUGAUUGAAUGGCCGCAGUAUCUUGACUGUGCAAAGGUAGCAUAAUCAUUAGUUUUUUAAAUGAAAGCUUGUAUGAAAGGUUUAAUGAAAAAAAUACUGUCUCUAUUUAAAUAUAUUAGAAUUUUAUUUUUAAGUGAAAAAGCUUAAAUAUUUAUUGAAGACGAGAAGACCCUAUAGAAUUUUAUAUUUUUGUUAUAUUUACUUAAUUUAGAAUUUUGGAAAUAUAUAUAAUAAAAAUAUUUGAUUGGGGUGAUAGAAAAAUUUACUUAACUUUUUUUUUAUUGAUACAUAAAUUAAUGAAUACUUGAUCCUUUAAAUUUAAAGAUAAAAAGAAGAAAUUACCUUAGGGAUAACAGCGUAAUUUUUUUUAGAGUUCUUAUCGAAAAAAAAGAUUGCGACCUCGAUGUUGGAUUAAAAUAAAUUAUUGGUGUAGAAGCUAGUAUUUUAGGUCUGUUCGACCUUUAAAUUUUUACAUGAUCUGAGUUUAAACCGGUGUGA
rnacentral:rRNA from 1 species